rnacentral:lncRNA from 1 species
CCUGCUCUGGAAUGGAAUUAGUGUCCAUAAGGCUUCUGUCUGAUUGAGGUCUCACAUUGUCUGCUGAGUCUCUGGGCAUCCACCCCAUCACCAACCCUGGCUCUGAUGUAACCUUGAGCACCUGUGUGAUCCUGUAAGCCCUGGUCCUGGGUCCCUUCUUUUGCCACUCUGGACAUAUGUGCACACACUAGUAGAAUCUUUAUCAUACCAACUUAAGUUUUGGCUGCUGGUCUGCUGGCUUUGGAGAGAUCUUGAUUUCUCCUGUGUGAUCAUUUUAACUAAUGAGGGAGUAUCAAUCUCAUCUUUUUUCUUUCCUGUUGAAGAACCUGUAUGCAGAAUGGGAUUCUGCUUCUCAGUUCCUGCAUGCUUUGUGGAACACAGGGUGCUUAAGACACUCUGUUAAUAUACAUAGUCAGGAGCCCCCACAUGUCCAUCUUGCAUUUUGUGCAAAGUCAUGUAUCUCUAUUUCUGCUACAUAGGCUUCAGUGGAGCUGCCACAGGUAUGUGCUCUACUUACCUGGUCACUGACAAAUUCUAGUUGCAGAAUUUGAGUAUCCCAUAAUGAUUGAGGGAGAAGGUUGCUCUCUUAAUGAUGGCCCAACAGAAGAAGAUACCAUUAUCUUCAAAUGACCUAUUGUUUUAGCUGGUUUACUUGAACUUUUGAAUUUGACAAAUGAGAAAAAUAAGGAGAAUUUUGGGAUGGUUCCCUUACCUGCCACAAUCAUGAUCCUCAUACUUUUCCAUUAAUUCUCCACAAAAGAAUCCACUGAUAUUUCUAUAUCAUCUAUAUAGGAACAAAAACUGAAGACUCAAAUGGAUUUGAAUUUUCUGGGAUUUGAAAAAUAUAUUAAAAUGAAAAGAAAAAAAUAUUUUAUGUCGAUGGUGUUUUAUGUUAAUUGUAUUUACUACAAUUAACUACCAAAAGCUCAUAUUUAACAAAAAGGGAUCCUCAAUACUAAAGUAUAGAAGACUUGUAUAAAUAGGAACCAAGAUAGGGUGAGUCAUCAUUUAUAUAGGGCACAUGAGGUCCACGAUUAACACAGCUAGUAACAUUAUCCAUACAUGUUCCUCUUGUGCCACCAGCAGUGACCUGGAGAUGGCAGCAUGAAGGUCCUAGGGAAGCAAUCAACCUGUGCUGAGGAAAGCAUAAUUUAUUCAUCAGAACUCACAUCACAGAGGAAUCUUGGUUCUUAGUUUCUGGGAGCUAUUCUGGGGAAAACCUCCAGUGUCACUUUUUUUUUUCUUUUAAAAACCAACCAUGUGCCCUGCUUGUCUUUGUAACCAUUUUAGCUCCCCAAACAAAAAAUAAGCUAUUUCUGAGGAAAGAUGCUCCCCAGCCAGAUCAGUUCAUUCAGAAGCCAGAGAUUCACUUUCUGGAUGCCAGUAAGUGAAGGGAUCCCAGUAUCAUAAGACCUGUGUAAGAUGACUUCUGACUUUACUACUUCUAUCUCAAAGAUUCCCAAGUUACAAAGUUGAGACUUUAUAUUAAUAACAGUACUGUGAUAAUGUGGUUGUGUGAGUAUUCCCGUUAGCACACGAGGAAACUGAGGCUCAGAGAUAUUAAAUCACUGAAUCCUAAAUCAUACAGAAGCUUAGAAACCAAACCAGUGUCAACUUCCAUAUCAAUGUUCCAUGCUCCUGUUUUCAAGAAAAAUGUUUCAUGUACAAAGCUAGAAAAUCCAUAAAAUAAAUCCAAGAAAGAUUAAGGAAGACAGCUGUGACCCAGUACAGAUGGGAAGGAAUGGCAGCAGCUUCCACUGAUCCCUCUAACUCCACACCUCCUUUUUCUCUCCAGGAUCUCUGAUGUCAUCUAAGACCAUAACAUCCCAGGAAAAAGACACUCCUGAGACCACACUCCAAUUCUAGGGCACUGGUCCCUGGGAGAUCCUCUCAUUUCAGUCUCUCCAUGCAAAAUCUCUCCUUAGCCUGGCAAGAUCUAAGGAGGCUAGUACAGGGAAGGAAAGGACCUUCUCAAGUGACUAUAGUAUGGAUUGCACAGGAGAAACUAUCAGCUACUGGAUCAGCUUCUGCACUAAGCCAUGUGCACCCUGAAGUCACAUGUUCAACAUCCCUGCCAAAGAUCCACAAAUCCACAGCUGAAUAUCUGGGAGUGAAUUUCUCAACAUUUUCUUCUUCCACGUCCAGCUCCUCUUUCUCCUUCUGCCAAUUCUCUUCCUUUUUAUUUCCCUUUUUUCUUCCUUUAUUCUUCCUGGAAAUUUAUCUUCUGCUCCUGAAGUACUUGUGUUUCAAAGUCUUUUGCCCUGCCACACAGAUUAUUAGAGGGAAAACAAAACAAGUAAAACAUCAUGAGACAGAUUUCCUAGAUCUUCUACAAGGGACUCAGUAAAGAGAGAGCUAUGUUUGGAUAUGAUUCAACAGUAUAUUAAAGUAUUCCGGAGAUUUUUGCUCUGGGAAAUCUAAUUGGAGGAGAAGGAAAUCAAACCAACAAAUAUGCUUUGAGUACCUUAUUGCCAGGUCCUCUGCUGAGUGUUUUACUCCUGUUGAUGCAUGCCUUCCUCACAAAAAGCCUAUGAGGUAGGUCUGAUUAUUAUGAUUGUUAUUACACAAAGGGUACAUGGUAUGCUUAGCCCAUGUCUUUGUCCAAGAUUGUGUAGCACAAAGCAGCUCUGGACGUCAACUCAAGCAUUUUCACUCAGG